CCUGAGGGAAAGUUGCAAAGAACUUUGAAGAGAGAGUUUAAGAGGGCGUGAAACCUCUCAGAAGGAAACUGACGGAGCUGAAAAGACAACUGUCAGAUUCAGUUUCCCAGGUGCUUCGGCAGCAGGGGAAUGCACUUCUGGCAGUUGAGCGUCGCGACCGGUUUUUCUGCUGGUUAAGUUCAAACUGUUGCGGGCUGAUGAAUUCUUAUCAGUGACCCACAGUGUGAUACUGUCCUGGUCGGAUAAACUGUGGACUUGCAUAGACGUGCUUGUACCUACAGAAGCUUGCUGUCUUGACUGUUAAGCUCUGAUAUUAGAGUUUGACGACUAACAUGCUUGCUUUCUGCUGGUUAAAGUCGUUUGUAAGAGUCAGCGGCGUCUACGUCAGCCACCCGUCUGACCCGUCUUGAAACACGGACCAAGGAGUCUAACAUGUGCGCAAGUCAUUGAGUUGAGAACUCAAAGGCGAAAUGAAAGUAAAGGCUAGCUUGCUAGCUGAGGUGAGAUCCUUUAUGGGCGCAUCACCGUCCCGUCCUAAGGGUAAUGUCCCUUGGGUGGAGAUAGAGCGUUCAUGUUGGGACCCGAAAGAUGGUGAACUAUGCUUGAGCAGGAUGAAGCCAGAGGAAACUCUGGUGGAGGUCCGCCGCGGUUCUGACGUGCAAAUCGAUCGUCAGACUUGAGUAUAGGGGCGAAAGACUAAUCGAACCAUCUAGUAGCUGGU
rnacentral:rRNA from 1 species